AGCACGGAGGGCGGGAAAAUGUGGCAGCGGCUGCGGGAGCUUCCCAGCCAUGUAAGGUUGCACUACUGGAAAAAAGAAGUAUAACACUAAAAGAAUAAUGUUUUGAUCUCUGCUAGAGAAUCUGAAUCCGCUGACAUAGUGAGGAGCCAUCUGGGCAUCAAGUUCUGCAGAGAGAAGAUUUAGCUGGAACAAGUCCCGGUGAUAUGCUUUACCAGUCAUUACUGAAUUGUGGCCAGUGACGGGCUGGCGGGUAAUUUCCUGCAUGUUGGGAUGGAGAAUAGGAAGUUCUGAGAAGCUGGGGACACACCAUUAAGGGUACCAGCAGGUGAGUACUGAGCAUUUUUACAUAUAAAAAUAUUUACUUGAACAUCAUCUUUAAGUAGGUUCAAAUAGAAAAAUAAAGUGGAGAAAACAACAAUCAGCAUCUUACAUGCUGAUAUUUAGUUGAUCUGCACUUGAAAAAGUUACUACACAUUUAUUAGAAGGGACACGCCUCUUAAAGGGGUUGUCCAGUAUUACAAAAAUGCUGCUUAUUUUUUAUGCAAAAACAGCACCACUCCUGUGCACACGGUGCAAAAACCACAUAGUACAUUGAUAAAUUCCCCUUAAAAUACACUAAAAAGAUUUGCGGAAGUUACCUUCAUAUGGAAUUUGUGUUUCCUUUAUGUUUAAAUAGAGAGAGAAAAUGUAAGCUAUUUUUCACAGAUUGUCAUACUGUAUAUUCAUAUCACCCACUCAUGACAUCAGUUUGGCUCAUCAUUCAUUGUCAGUGGAUUCACAUCCAAAAGCACUAAACGUUGCUUUAAAAUGAGUUUAUUACCCAAAACAAAACCAACCAAACAAUAAAUGACUGAAUAGAAGAAUUUAAUUGUGGGGUCAGUCCUAAGAUUUUCCUGUCACAUACAUAUUUUGAUCCAAUUGAGCAUGUGUUUGUUUACUUUGGCAAUAUACAGAAAAGAAACCUGUUACAGUUCAGAUUUUUGCUGCUGUAUUGUGUCACUUACACACCACUAAAAGAAUUGUAUUUUACAUGCAGCAGUGCUGAUGCCCGCUGUUGGCUUAAUUUUUAUCACCUAACCUUAACACAUAGGGAGGGAAGAAAUUAUAAAAAAUAGCUGAAAGAAAACACUGCUGCCUUUAGUGCAAACUCAACUGUGACUAUGUCUAAUAAAAUUAACAGACACAGCCCCAGAUUUUUGUU